UUAACUCAGAUUUGUAUGGAGUUGGAACAGCGCCCCUAGCGGCAAACGUAGGCAAACAUUCAAACUCCAUACAAAUUUGAGUUA
rnacentral:pre_miRNA from 1 species